rnacentral:rRNA from 1 species
UACCAGCACCCCGAGUGGUCGGGACGUUUAUUGGGCCUAAAGCAUCCGUAGCCGGUUCUGCAAGUCUUCCGUUAAAUCCAGCUGCUUAACAGAUGGGCUGCGGAAGAUACUAUGGAGCUAGGAGGCGGGAGAGGCAAGCGGUACUCGAUGGGUAGGGGUAAAAUCCGUUGAUCCAUUGAAGACCACCAGUGGCGAAGGCGGCUUGCCAGAACGCGCUCGACGGUGAGGGAUGAAAGCUGGGGGAGCAAACCGG